rnacentral:rRNA from 1 species
AAGCCUGAUCCAGCAAUGCCGCGUGCAGGAUGCAGGCUUUCGGGUUGUAAACUGCUUUUGUACGGAACGAAAAAGCCUUCUCUAACACAGGGGGUGAAUGACGGUACCGUAAGAAUAAGCACCGGCUAACUACGUGCCAGCAGCCGCGGUAAUACGUAGGGGGCAAGCGUUGUCCGGAUUUACUGGGUGUAAAGGGCGCGCAGGCGGAAUGGAAAGUCAGUGGUGAAAUCCUACAGCUUAACUGUAGAAAUGCCUUUGGUACAUACACUCUUAAGUUCGGUAGAGAGAGACGGAAUUCCAGUUGUAGUGGUGAGAUACGUAGAUAACUGGAAAAACACCAGUUGCGACGGCGGUCUCUUGGUCCGAUACUGACGCU